AAGAGCGUGCGCGGGUGACACUCGCCAUCUCACCUCGCCUCGCCUUGCCUUGCCGCCACCGCACGUGCUGCAAGAUUCCGCUCUUCUUCCUCAGCCGCGCAGUGCGGGCGCACACACACACACACACACACACACACACACACACACAGGCACACGACCGAAUCCUGAGGCAGCUUUGUACACACCUACGCGCCGACGCGCCGCGCGUGCGCAUUUUCUGUUGCUGUUCCCCUUCGCGCUUGCCCUCAGUGGCCCCGCGGAAGUGGGGCGCCUCGAAUGGAUGCGCGCCGUGGCUGUGCGUCUGUCCCGUCCGGUGCCGUCCUCGCCAUGGAGUCGAGUGAACCACAUUGCCAGUAUGAACCCGGCCAACGUCAGUAGCUAUCGCCCUUCGAGCAGGAGCCUGCAGCCAGGCUACUGCCCUCUGAGCACCUCACACCCGGCGUUUGGUCUGAAACAGGCUCGAGUCCCCUCGCAGAGGAACCGCCACCGCCUCAUCUCUACAGAGCACCCCGCCUUCGGCACACGCAAGACGUUCUCGAGCUCCGACUGCUUCGAAGGGCCAGUCAGCGUGUCUGGUAUCUUUCUCUCGAUUGACCCGAACUUCACAAUGGGUGGGCAGGACAGCAUGAACCCCAAUGCGCAGAUUACCACCCGUGACGCGGCAGGCAAUAUGGCCCGUGCGCGCUACCGCUGCCACAUCGAGUCAAGCGGUGGCAUGAAGCUGGAGAUGCUCGUGCGCGUGCAGAUGGGAUGGAUCUCGCCCCGGGUGGUCUUCUCGCAGAUCCCAUACGUCAUCCACCUCGGCAAAGGCAUCGACGUCAGCAUCCCGUUCGUGCUUCACUUCACCAUGGUCUCCCUGCUCGACGAGCACGGCGACAACACCGGCAGCUUCUUGUACUUCAGUGGCACCCCUAUGCUGGGCUUCUCUUCAGGCUUUAGCCGCAUCAAGGGAGGUAAGAUGGUGCUCAACCCCACCAAGGUGGUGGACCCGUACGUGGAGGUGUUCGACUUUAUCGGGCACGUUCACUAUCGUCAGAUGGGCUUCGUGCUCUUCAAAUGCCUUGGCUGCCUGCUCUGCUUCCUGGCCUGCAUUCCCGCGACACAGCGCAUGCUGCAGUGCGUCCUGCCCGAUCCGUUCCACCGACACAGCGAAAAGCCCCUGUAAAGCAAGAGCGAGAAAGGGAACGGCGCCAGUAGCGCGCGUCGCUCUUCGUGCAUAGCAUAAGCAUACGUUGCCGGCGCUCUGCUUGGACGACUCAAACAGCUUCUCCAGUUGCAUCUCCUUACUCCCUCUUGCUCAGGCUACAAGCGGCGGUGCCAGCGACAACUAGAGUAGAUACGCCGGACUCCUCUGCUAGACCGGCGUCUCGGGCUGACUGCAGGCGUUGCUCCGCAGCACACUUCCCAGAGCGCAUCCUGUAGCGAAGCUCACAGUAAGAUCUUCUCCCCCUCAACUCCACAACAAAAGAAAACCGGCGAAGGCGAGGAAAACAAUGCUCCCCUCUGCUCACACGCAUCCUGGGAGGUCCACCUGUCUCCGCGCCCCAUUCGCUCCUCAUCCUGUGCGUGUGUGUGCAGGGAGGUGAGAGGAUGGGGGGAGGGCGGGUGGGCGAGCCAAGCUGGCGCACUUCUGCAGCUACCUGCGCAUCGCACAGAACGGUGACGCUCGGCAACGCAGUGGGCACGUUGAAUGCCCGUGCCGGGAGGAAGUACCGCGACGCUCGCGCACGAGUGUAGGAGUGACGCAGCGCCCAUGAUUGGCGCACACCCACGCAGAGAGAAAACGACUACAUUCGUCGACUUCCACACACGCCCCCGCCCUCCCUCUUUCUCCCAUGCGCUCGGGCUGCCCAAAACUCAACCGCUUCGUUUUGUCGACUUUGUGAUCGCCUCCGCUGUGCUUCAUUUCUCCUUGCCUUGCCACCUCUCCUUGCCCCUCACUCACGCCAUACAG
rnacentral:misc_RNA from 1 species